rnacentral:rRNA from 1 species
GAUGAACGCUGGCGGCGUGCCUAAUACAUGCAAGUCGAGCGAACAGAUAAGGAGCUUGCUCCUUUGACGUUAGCGGCGGACGGGUGAGUAACACGUGGGUAACCUACCUAUAAGACUGGGAUAACUUCGGGAAACCGGAGCUAAUACCGGAUAACAUUUGGAACCGCAUGGUUCUAAAGUGAAAGAUGGUUUUGCUAUCACUUAUAGAUGGACCCGCGCCGUAUUAGCUAGUUGGUAAGGUAACGGCUUACCAAGGCAACGAUACGUAGCCGACCUGAGAGGGUGAUCGGCCACACUGGAACUGAGACACGGUCCAGACUCCUACGGGAGGCAGCAGUAGGGAAUCUUCCGCAAUGGGCGAAAGCCUGACGGAGCAACGCCGCGUGAGUGAUGAAGGGUUUCGGCUCGUAAAACUCUGUUAUUAGGGAAGAACAAACGUGUAAGUAACUGUGCACGUCUUGACGGUACCUAAUCUGAAAGCCACGGCUAACUACGUG